AUUGAACGCUGGCGGCAGGCCUAACACAUGCAAGUCAAGCGGAUGAAGGGAGCUUGCUCCUGGAUUCAGCGGCGGACGGGUGAGUAAUGCCUAUGAAUCUGCCUGGUAGUGGGGGAUAACGUCCGGAAACGGGCGCUAAUACCGCAUACGUCCUGAGGGAGAAAGUGGUGGAUCUUCGGACCUCACGCUAUCAGAUGACCCUAGGUCGGAUUAGCUAGUUGUUGGGGUAAAGGCCUACCAAGCCGACGAUCCGUAACUGGUCUGAGAGGAUGAUCAGUCACACUGGACCUGAGACACGGUCCAGACUCCUACGGGAGGCAGCAGUGGGGAAUAUUGGACAAUGGGCGAAAGCCUGAUCCAGCCAUGCCGCGUGUGUGAAGAAGGUCUUCGGAUUGUAAAGCACUUUAAGUUGGGAGGAAGGGCAGUAAGUUAAUACCUUGCUGUUUUGACGUUACCAACAGAAUAAGCACCGGCUAACUUCGUG
rnacentral:rRNA from 1 species